rnacentral:rRNA from 1 species
GACGAACGCUGGCGGCGUGCUUAACACAUGCAAGUCGAACGGAAAGGCCCUGCUUUUGUGGGGUGCUCGAGUGGCGAACGGGUGAGUAACACGUGAGUAACCUGCCCUUGACUUUGGGAUAACUUCAGGAAACUGGGGCUAAUACCGGAAAGGAGCUCCUGCUGCAUGGUGGGGGUUGGAAAGUUUCGGCGGUUGGGGAUGGACUCGCGGCUUAUCAGCUUGUUGGUGGGGUAGUGGCUUACCAAGGCUUUGACGGGUAGCCGGCCUGAGAGGGUUACCGGCCACAUUGGGACUGAGAUACGGCACAGACUCCUACGGGAGGCAGCAGUGGGGAAUAUUGCACUAUGGGCGGAAGCCUGAUGCAGCAACGCCGCGUGCGGGAUGACGGCCUUCGGGUUGUAAACCGCUUUCGCCUGUGACGAAGCGUGAGUGACGGUAAUGGGUAAAGAAGCACCGGCUAACUACGUG